AGAGAGAGAGAUGAGCCUUAUAAGCAACAGUAACUCCAGUAGUAAUCACUGCUUAAAAUUUCACACAUACUGAUACAUAAUAGUUUGCUUAAAAUUUUACGCAGAUAUAUCACCCAUUCUCCCAAAUCGAGGUACAAACUUGCUCAGCUGUGAAUUCUGCAGUGAAUAAACAACGGAUAAGUAACUAACAGAGUUUGAUGUUAUGGGAAAUAGGGUUGUAGAUUUUACCAUGUCAUUGCGGAAAAGCUAAGGAAAUGGAAGUGANNNNNNNNNNNNNNNNNNNNNNNNNNNNNNNNNNNNNNNNNNNNNNNNNNNNNNNNNNNNNNNNNNNNNNNNNNNNNNNNNNNNNNNNNNNNNNNNNNNNUAUUUCACUUCAUCCAAUCCAAUAAAAGAAACUAAAUGCUUUAAAAAAAUAAAAAACAAAAAAGAGAAUUGCAAGCAAAAAAUAGAAAAAACAAAAAAAUGUUAUAUAAAGUUUUUUUUAUUAAAUUGAAAUAAUUAAAAUUAAAAAUUAUUUAAUUAAAAUUGAACAAAUUACGCUCUAUCAUAAAACGAAAAGAAUUUUAAAUCGAAUACAAAUUAUUUAUAAUAUGAAGAAAAAAGGAAAUUUUAAAACAAUUCUAAAAAAAUAUAAAGUUUUUUAAUAAAAUUGAAAUAAUUAAAAUUAAAAUUAAAUAUUAUUUAAUUAAAAUUGAACAAAUUAUGUUCUACCAAAAAAAACGAAAAGAAUUUAAAAAAAAUUAAAUUGAACUAAAAAUUAUUUAUAAUAUGAAGAAAAAAGAAAUUUUAAAACAAUUUUUUCAAGAAAUAUAUAAUAAAAAAAUUAAACAAAAGAAAGUUACAGAAAUUAAAUAAAAUAUAUAUAAACGUUAUUUAAUUGAAAUUGAAAUUAAGAAUUGUAAUUUUCAAAAAAAUCUACAUCACAAGAAGGGAAACAUGGAAUGUUUCUCUCGUGCGAUGGAGAGACUGAGUGUGUGUGAUGGAGAGUUCACACUCCAUCUCCAUCACACAUGGAGAGAAAUGUAAUUUAUUUUGUUCAUACUAUAAAUAUAUUUUUUUUCGAUUUCAAUUUUUUUAAUUCUUUUCUAUUUAUGAUAAAACAAAUUUUUUUUUACAAUUUAAGUUAAAUAAUAUUUAUUUUUUAUUUUAAUUAUUUCAAUUUAAUUAAAAAACUUUACAAUAAAUUUUUUUGUUUUAUUUUUCAUUUCAUUUUUUAUCCCUUUUUACAUGCAUUUAUAGUACAAAACGAUAUCGUUUCCCUAUAUUGAAUGGCAAAACGACACUGUUUAUUCCAUUAAUAUGAUAAAAGACUGAAUAUAUCUUAUAAUAAUUAUAGAAAAAUAUUAAUUAUUUAAUUAAUAAUAAUUAAAUUUUCGUCAAUGUAUGUUAUAUUCACUCCUUACCUUAAUGUUUGAGAUGAAAUAUUUUUAUCCAAAAAUGAAAAAAUUUAAGAUAAUAGUAAAAUCGAGAAUCCUAAUCUUAAAUAUUAUCCUUCUGAACUCUGCAUUUAGAUGGUAUUCUAUUAUACAAAAAUUCAAAUAUUUGAACACUGAACAAGAAAUAAUGGAAUAAAAUAUAAUCUCAAAAAAUUAAGCGAACCAAAUUGUAACUAUCAUUUUACACCAACACGAAUAAAAAAACUAAAUGAUUUAACAAUUAAAGAACAAAAAAAUUGCAAGCGAAAAAAAAGUUAUUAUAAUUUUUUAAUUAAAUUAAAAUAAUUAAAAUAAAAAAUAAAUAUUAUUUAAUUAAAAUUAAAAAAUUACGUCAAAAGUUUUUCCACCUUUCUCUCCUCGAAAAAAUGGGCGAAGAAGGAGGUCAAUCUAUCUUCAUUAGACGUCUUACCUCUCCUUCUCUCCUCGAUCAUAAAACGAAAAGAAUUAAAAAGAAUUUUAAAUCGAACAAAAAAUUAUUUAUAAAAUGAAGAAAAAAGAGAUUUUAAAACAAUUUAAAAAUAUAUAAUAAAAAAAUAAAUUAAAGAAAAGAAAGUUACGAAAAUUAAGUAAAAAAUAUAAAUAUUAUUUAAUUAAAAUUGAAAAAAUUAAGUUUUAUCAUAAAGAAAAAAGAAUUAAAAAGAAUUUUAAAUCGAGAAAGAAUUAUUUAUAAUAUGAAUAAAACAAAUUAAAAAAAUAAAUGAGGAAAAAAUAAGAAAAGGAAAAAUGAAAAAGAUAUCUAUGUGCUGCACAGAGAUCACUUCUCCAUGAUAUCCACAAGUAUUAAAUUAAUCAAAGUAGGUUAAGCUACUACCAUAAAUCUCAAAACAAAUAUUUCGCUCAUGUUAAACAAUUGAUAAAAAAGAGAAUAUCUAUAACAAUACAUUAUAAAUAUGGCAAAACAAUUGAGAAAAAACAAGGUUACAAGUAAAAUCCUCCCUUUUUUUUAUGCUUGGUUUUGACUUCCCCAAAUAUUUCUCCAUCUUCCUAUAUGUAUUCUCCUUUUGCGCUAGGUUUUACACGCAAAAUAUCAAGAAAAUGAAGAAAAGAAAAUGAAAGGAAAAAGAAAGAAAAGAAAAUGAAAAGAAAUUGAGAAGGGAACAAGAAGCUCGAAUUCUUCCUGUGGUUGUCUCGUUUUAAAUGUUAAAACCCCAAAAAAUUUGCAGUCAAGUCCCUAGAGUUUGGAUAACCAUUUAAAAUGGACCCCGUAUUUUUAAAGUAGCGCCUAGAUAAUAACGUUAAAUUAGUUCCAUUUUUGCAGCUAAGUCCCCUAGAUAAUUGCAUGUUAUGUCCCUCAGAUUUGAUGCUGUACAAUUUGUUCCUCAUAUUCUAAUUUUCAUUUAAAUCAAACCCUUCAUAAAUUUCAGUCCAAGGUCCUCAACUUUUAGCACUUGCACACUUUGGUCCCCAAUUUCAUAAUUUUUCACACUUUUAGUCCUUUUUUCCUCAUUUGCCUUGCUCUCAUUUUAUGGGUGAUUUUUGGCCUACAAAAGCCAUAAUCACAUAAUUGUAAAGAAAUUUGCUCAAUUUAAUCAAUAAUUAGCUUGUUAAAGUAUCUAUAAGUGUGCAAAACACACAUAUCAAGUAUCAAUCAAUCAGUUCCUAGGUAGGGAAACAUUUAAUGUCCCCUAAUGAGUAGAUUUUAUGACUUGAUCUUUUGACAUCUAUUGCACAAACAUCACAUCAAUCAAUCAUGUAAAUCUUAUUUUUGCUAGAUCCUUGUACAAAAGAUCCUCCAAUUAAUAGAAAAGAGGCAACAUGAUAGUGUUCCAUCAGCUCUGAUCCACCUCUUACCUCUUCAGCAUAUAUCCCUUCAAGGCGUACAACUUCGACGACUCAGUCAAACUGUGAAUAUACAUUUGAAACAUUUCACCUUGGCGUUUCGAUGGUGCGGGGUGACAUGGAGUGCAAGCUUUGUUGAUUUGUUUAGCUGGCUACCAUGUUGGUGAUGAUCUGAAGCCAAAUUGGUGACAAUCUGGAGCUUGUUCAUAAGAGGCAUAGCUUUAAUAGUCAACAUUCUGGAGAUAUAUUUAAUGACUAGGAAAUUACCUAGGGUCUCAACAUUUUAUUUCCCAUUAUGGAUAAUGAAAGAUUUAGUAUUUUUUUUUCCAAAAAGAAUACGUACGUUUAGUGAAUUUUUUUAGCUAUUUGCUUUCUCGAAUUUAGUGUUAAUUUAUUGAUGGAAUGGUCUUGUCAAUUGAACCCUUAAUGGGAUUUCAAGACUCAUGGUAACAUCGAUAAACCGUUUUUUGCUAAAUAGAGGCAUUCACACUCUCUAUUUUUCUUUCUACACAAGGUAGAGUUCUCUCUCAAGUUUUUCUAUAAUCUCUAUAGUAAAGGAUCAUCAAAUUAUAAACUCUCACCCUAUUUAAGAAAAUAUUGGAUGGAAGAAGAUAAUGUGAACUUCGCUUCAUUUUUUUGUCAAAUUUUUUCACCUUUAUGGAUGCCCAUAAUCUUCACUUGAUAGAGAAAGUAAAAUUGGUUUUCUUUUCCUUGAAAAUUUGAUAAUAUUUGUAGUAAAAUUCUACAUAUGAUGGACUGCACAACAAAUCUCCCCCUCCACCUCAUGUGGUGGGUUCUACUAAACUCGCUUUUUGCCUUCGAGCUUCCAAUUUCUCCUUUAGCAAAGAUUUCAUUAACACAUCAGAUCUAUUAUUGCUAGUAUACAUGUUCUCUAAAUUCAACGACUUGGCUUCAAGUACAUUAUGAAUCCAAUGAUAUCUGGCAUCAAUAUGCUUGGAUCUAGAAUGAAAUGUUGAGUUAUUGGAGAGGAGGAUAACACUAUCCACUCUAAUUAUUACAAUAAACAACAUACUUUUCUUGUUGUAAUCCCAAUUAUUGAAAAAAUUUCUUCAUCCAAAAAGCUUCUUUACAAGUUUCAAUGAUAGCAAUAUAUUCAGCUUCUAUAAAUGAUAAAGCUACACAUUUUUACAACUUGGACUACCAAGAAACAGCCUCUCCAUAAAAAGUCAUCAAAGAAUUUUGAUGUGAACUUCCUAGAAUCACUAACACCUGCUAUAGCCGCGUCUAUAUAUCCGCCUAACAAAGGUUCACCACCAACAAAGCACGAACGCGCCUUGAAAGUACCUCUUGGAUACCUAGUAUCCAUUUUAUUGCUAACCAAUGUUCUUUUCUAGGAUUUGAAAGAAAUUGGCUAAAAACUCCAAUGGCAUGAACAAUGUAUGGUCCUGUAUACAUUAUAGUAUAUAUCAAGCUUCCAACUGUAGAUGCAUAAGGUACUUUGCUCAUCUCUUCCUUCUCUUUCUCACUUUAAGGACACUUUUUAGCUGUCAACUUGAAAUGACUUGCAAAUGGAAAUAAAGCAGAUUUUGCCUUACUCAUGUUGAAUCUUUCAAAAACUUUUUACUAUAGUUUUCUAGAGAUAGCCACAAUUUUUUGUUCUUCCUAUCAUGGGAUAUCUUCAUGCCAAGAAUUUGAUUUGUCGAUCCCACGUCUUUCAUUGUAAAAAACUUACUUAACUCCUUUUUAAACCUGUAGACUUCUUGACCAACAAUCAACAUGUCAUAAAUAUAUAGCAAGAGAAUAAUAUAAUUAUCAUCAGCAAAUUUCUUUACAAAUACAUAGUGGUCCGAUGUCAUUCUAUUAUAUCUCUAACUAGUCAUAAAGUGAUCAAACUUCUUAUACCACUGUCUUGAAACUUGUUUGAGUCUAUAUAAACUUUUUUUUAGUUUACAAAUAAGAUGCUAUUUUCCUUUAACUUGAAUUCCUCUAGUUGCUCCAUAUAAAUCUUGUCUUCCAAGUCACUAUGUAAGAAGGUUAUUUUUACAUCAAAUUGUCCAAUUUUCAAAUUCAAAUGGGUAGCAAGAGUAAGAACAACUUUGAUGGAUGACAUUUUCAUCUCAGGUGAAAAUAUUUCUUCAAAGAUAAUUCCUUUCUUUUGAUCGAAUCCUUUCACAACGAGUAUGGCUGUGUCUUUUGGUUGUGAACUAUUGUUUUUUUUUCUUUACCCUAUAAAUCUAUUUAUUCUUAAAAGCUUUCAAGCCUUUUGGUGGCUUUAUCAAAUCAUAAUUCUGGUUCUCAUACAAGGACUUUCAUCUCUUUUUGCAUGUCUUCAAUCCACUCUUUCUUCUGCUCUUGUAGCACAACCUCUCUAUAGGUUUCUGGCUCUUCUCCAUCUACAAGCAUCACAUACUCAUCAGUUAAGUACCUUGUAGAUGGCUCUCUUUCUCUACCAGAUCUUCUCAGAGGCAACUCCAUUAGUGGUUUUAGUAGGAUUAGUCCUUCAAUUGUAUCAUUAUCAAUUGUUUGUGCGAAAUCCACAAGCGUACAAGAUUGUUAACAAGUAAUAGAUUUAGUAAGCUGCGAGUAUCGUACCACAGAAAAAUAAAUGUAGCUAGCUAUUGAUCGAUUCAUUUAAUAGACACAACUAGUCACUACCAAGAAAUCCUCUUAUGAAACUACAUGCUUCUCACAAGCUUUAGAAAUCCACAAGCGUACAAGAUUGUUAACAAGUAAUAGAUUUAGUAAGCUGCGAGUAUCGUACCACAGAAAAAUAAAUGUAGCUAGCUAUUGAUCGAUUCAUUUAAUAGACACAACUAGUCACUACCAAGAAAUCCUCUUAUGAAACUACAUGCUUCUCACAAGCUUUAUCUAAAGCUUUAUUGAUUUCCAAAUACUUUUGGAGGAUUCAAAUUAUUACACUAGUCAAUCCCUUUUGCUAGAGGAUUUCAUAUAUGAGCCUUUGGAUCUGUAUUCAUAUUCUAGUUUUUUUUUCUUGUUUCGUCACUAUUUCCUCUUCAAAGAAGAUAUAAUUCACAAAAAUAUGUUCCAACAGUAACUCCGGCAAUAAUCUCAGCUAAAAAACUAUUAUCAUUCCAUAUGAAAAAUUUCCCUUUUGACUUCAUGAUUAAAACAUUAUAUUCUUGCAUACUAGUAUUCCAACUCUUUAAAAGCAUAGUUCGUAUUCCGUAAUUCGGAAACAUUGAUGAAUGAACACGUCAUUUCAUAUUGAUUUAUUCUCUCUUUAAUGUUCAGGAUAUUUUCGUUAAUGGACGAUGUAAGCAACAUAUUCGGGGUUCUCUGUAUCCUAGAGGUAGCUCCUUUCUCUUACCCCUGUGAUCUGCUCUCGUGUAUUAGAAGCUAGGAUUGAACUGGCUUUCCUUUCUUUACCAGGCUCAAGGAAAGUUAGGAGUGAAAGAAUUUUGCUUACCUUGUGCAUCGCCGGCAGUGGGGCAAAUAUCGCCUUAAGGAAAGAGCUAAUGCGUGUCUUGGAGCCAAGUUUCUUCAACUCUAUAAGUUUAAUGUGAUUUUCUCCAAUAUCAUGUAGUUCCCGUCUCGACCAUUGUGAAGAUAGUUCCAUCAUUAUAUAGGACGUAACAUUAAACAUGGUGAAUUUUCUAGGUACGUGAUGUAAUGACACGUAGGAUGGAAUCAGUACUCCCCAACCAAAAUAUUAUGGAACUUAUGCAAAUUAUACUAGUUCCUGCAAAUCAAGAAAUACCCUAGGUGUCCCAACAAAUUCAAGUUUGUUGGUGGUGAGGCUAAUUAAGGCUAUCGGGAAAAUGGGAGGCAGAAAUCAAGAACACAACUUAGAAGAUUGGAAUUCGGCUCGGGACAUUGGACAUUGCUCAUUCAUGAAGAGGCAGCUUUUGCAUAUGACAAGGCUGCUUGGCUAUGGCUUAUGAAAAGGCGGCUAUGGCUUAUGACGAGGCUGCUUUCCUUCGUGGUACAAAUACACCCCAGGCUGCUACGGCUUAUGCAAUUGACAAGGCAGCUCUGGCUUAUGAAAAAGCAGCUACGGCUUAUGACCAGGCUGUUUUCCUUCUUCGUGGUACAAAUACACCCCCUCCUGUUCUUGCUUCCACAAACAGUACCCCAAGAAAAAGUAGCAAUCUUGGUGCUCGUAAUAUAAAUAUUUCUCCUAGUUCUUCUCAAUAUGUUACAAAUUUUUACAAUUUUCUGGUGCAGGAUGCAAUGAUAUAUAGGAUAAGACGAAGAUGAAGGGAAAAAAAAGAAAAGAAAGAUCAUAUGUAAUAUAUCCUUCAUUAUUGACGAGCCCUGUUCACAUAUAAUACAAUGAUUAUUGGCUCACAAAUACUAAAAUCAUAUGAAACUGUAACAGUACUGGACGCAUAUCUGCAUCCAAUCUUUGGCUUCUUUGAGAGGGAGACAUACUUAGGUGUGAACUGCAACAAAUUAUCGGAAUGCAUGAACGAAUAGUGAACGAAAUUUGAUAUAGAUAUAUGUUAGUGUAAAUUUAUGGGAGCCAGAAAUAGGGUUGUAACAUGUACCAUGCAGUUGCAGGAACACUCAGAAUAUAUGAAAGUGACAAUGAAAUGUUUCACAGCAAGCACCUGGAUUUUCUGGAUCACUGCCUGCAGCUGGCAAAUCUCCUCCACCACUGGUGUAAAGACGGAGUUUUAAGAGUAACCAUGAAAGACCGGAAAUGGACAUUACAGUUACCAGGAUGAUCACUAUUGUCAUUAAGUUAAAUUUGAUUUCCAUGAAGCUAUAAGAUUAAUUACAAGACUGGAGGAGAAACAUAUAUAUAUAACACUAUAUAUCUAUCUUUUCUCUAGUUGAUUAUAUACAUAAGACAUAAGACGAAAUUCAUUUUAUUUGCCUAAUUUCACGAAAGGAAGAAUUCACUCUUUUAUCUUGUUGAUAGAGACUUCUUAAUUAGUAAUCGGGAUUCUAGGUUAAAAAAAGAGUUAUCCGCAACUUUUUAUUCUUUCUACAAUUAGAUCUUAGGUCAUCAAAAAAAACUCCAUUCUUAUUUACUUUGAUUCUUAUAAACUAACUACUUGUUUGCUACAAAUAAACUAAUUGAAUUUUGUGUGCUCUACUUGAUUGAAUUUUAAUUCAAAGGAAAGAAAGCGUGGAGCUUAAAUAACUCACUCAGAACGCUUUUUAAAAGAUUACGUAUAUAUAUAUAUAUAUAUAUAUAUAUAUAUAUAUAUAUAUAUAUAUAUAUAUGCAGGUAUGUACUUUUUAUGAUUUUGUCUGAUUAUCAGCCAUAAGAGAAGGACAGUGCUCACCGCCUGAAAAUAGGCUGGACAGCAGAAAACAACAGAAAGAGGCUUAAAUUUGAGAAGACGACAAUUAAGACAGCUAGAAAAUGCACGCAAUGCAUUCACAAAAGGAAGAAAAUCCAAACGGUGGCAGAUAACUUUUCCCCCAUAAAGAUAGUUACUAUUAUUUACGCGAGGGAGAGUAGAUGGCUAUGUCAAAUGGAAGAGUAGUUUUUGAGGGCUUUUCUAGAGUCACUGACUAGCCACAAUGUGACUCUUUCUAUUCUAUGAUUUCUUUUGUAUUUGUUGCCAAUAGCCGCUUUUGUUAAUUCAUUUAUUUGAUGAUGAGAAAGUGAUUUAUUACAUGUAUUAAUAAAUAUGCUGGGUAAAGAAGGCUAUUCAUUGGGUAUAUGUAUUCAUUUCAGAUUUUUUCUAAUACAAGAUUGCUUAAGCAAUAGUCCAAAAAAAAAAAAAAAAAUUUGAAAAUAUCUAACUGAAAGUUUUAUGCUUUAUUUGUUUGAAUUAUAAGAACCAAUCUACAAAUCCUAAUUACUCUGCUAUUGUAACAGAAGAAAUGUAAUUUAAAACAAUUAUUUCAAUGGCAAUGGCCAACAAGUAUCAAUAAUUGCAUUCAGGGGCGGAGCCAGAAAAUUUGUUCAGUGCGGGCAUUAUUUAACCGAUGUCGAACAUUGUAUUUCGAUCAUGAAUUUAAUGAUGAUAAAACUAUAAAACAAAAUCAUAGGUUUUGGGUCUAAAAAUAAAACCCAUGUAAAUUAAAACAUGUUUUAUUCCACCUCCCCUGUUGCUUUAUAAUAAAAAAAAAAAAAAAAAAAGUUUAGGCCUAAAAUUUCAGUGCGGGCAUCGUCUCAACGUGGCUCCGCCACUGAUUGCAUUUAUAUAAUUAAAGUACUCAAUAAUCUUCAAUAUAUAGUCAACAUUAUUUUCCAACAAGGAAAUAAUGAUUACAAUUAUAAGACCCUAAAAAUAAUGUUGAAGUUUGAAUAAUGGUAUUAGAGGGAAGGAGUCUUUGGAGCAUCAAUUUGGAUACCUAGGCACGAUUCAGAAAGAAGAAACGGAUUUUGAACUCUAAAAAAGGCGCUUAAUAGCUAUUCGUGGCGCUGGACUGUCGCCUCACUUGCUACCUGCUUUUUUGCUCGAGCGUUGCGUCAUGCUUGCUUGGCUCUCGCCUGCUGCUCGAGCGGCAAUGUUAUUCCAAAAAAAUAUUUUUUUUUUCCACUUUUCAUCUAUAAUAUAUUCCUUUGGUUCCUAUUUAUACUCCACGUGAUUAUUAAGCUUUGAAUUAGAUCUUAGAUUUCAAUGUAUAAAAUUAGAAUACAAUUCAUUUUAUCUUUUCUCUCCUAAUGAAUAAAACUCUCAUCCUUUGUCCAUGGUAUUUUUCACAUUAAUUUUUUGCGUUCGUGUGUUGUGAUCUUUAGUUUGUAUUCUUUCAUAUCUCGCUAUUAUCUAACAAGUGAUAUUACCGCUCGCAACUACUUAGUUAGAUUGUUAACACGUGGUAUCAAUGCAAUUUAUAGUUCUUCGCAACCAAUGGCUUGAUUUCUAGGAAGUGGUAUCGUAACAUAUACAUAAUUCUUACUAUUUUCUUAACAAGUGGUAUCAAUAUCAAAAUUUGACAGUAUUUUGGUAGAGCUAGUUUUGGUUUCAUUUCAGAGCGAGGCUUGAUAAACUCAAAAUGAGGUUUGAUUAUUUCGGGACAAUAAGUGUGUAGUUUGAUAUCUCGCUUUUCGAUCGUAGCAAGACUUUUUUAUUAUGGCAGUUCUUGUUUGGAUACUGGAGGAUAAGCAAUGUAAGGAACGAGUUAUAUAUUUUGGAACGUUCGACAAUCAUGUUUGAUAUAGCAAUCAUUAAAUUAAAGAUUAGACAUCAGGAUAAGUUUAGUGAGACUGAUUUGGUUGCUUAUGGUGUAAUAAAUUCGAGCAAUUUGGUAUUGAAGAACUUGUCACUAGUUUAAGUGGAGUUAGUUUUGAUGUUUUGCUUGUGUUUCAAGCAAAUUUGGCACUUAAGGUAAUUUUGAUCAUAAGCAGUGCUUGAUUCUACAAAAUCUUUGGAUCAAUAAGCAAAAUUUAGGAUUGGGGUGGAUUUUGAGUUCAGUUCAGCAUCAUUGGAGUUUAGUUUAAGGUCUACAUUGAAGAAUACAUCUCAAUCGAGUUCAAAAGUUAUGAAUAAUUUUGCUUUUGCCACCAUAUUCAAUUGCGAGAGACAUACCCAUGAGAGAUAUCAGGCUAACACUAUUUUUGUUUUGAAAGUGAUUGAAGGUAUUGAUUAUAGCCAAGAUUCUUCUAUUGAAGCAGUUAAUUAUGUUGAUUCUGUUACAUGGCUUGUUUCUGUCCUUUCUGGUACUUAUUAAAUUAUUUGUGAUUUUGUUACUCGUGGUGAUUGUACAUGAAAUUAUCUUUCGAAUUAAAAUUGCAGUAAGUGUACUGUUCGUUACACAAAUAAUAAAGUAGAUUUUGAAUCCAAAUAUCAUUCCACACAGAUUGUAUUAGUUUAAAUUCAAAUUAUUUUCACCUUAAUCUAAACAAUAAAAAUUCAUGAUUUUUCUUUGACUAAAUUAUGAUUUAAUAAUCUAUUUAUAAAUUUAAGACCUUAAUUAACUAAACCAAAUGUGAGAUUAUAACUAAAUGCAAGUUUUAUAAAAAUAUGAUGAAGAAACGCGUACUAGAAUCUCCUUUAACCUGAAUUUUAUAAAUUUGACAAUACAAUUCAAUUAUGAAGACCAAUAUUCCUAAUUUAUUUAACAAUCUCUCUCGAGUAGAAUUAAACCUAUUUUUACAUGUGGCCCAACUUUAUUUCUAUGACGGAUGCGAAUAUAUAAAAAUGCAUUAAAGAUUUACAAAUAAUUAAAGGUCACGUAAAGCAUAGCAUAAUAUUUCUAUCCUCUAUCGGACUCUACAACAAUUGACACAAUGUCUAACUUAUUUUUCGUCUCUCGAGGUAAAACAAGCCACAAAACUCAUACAACUAUCGCGCAUAUAAUUGUAGAGAAAAUAAUAUCUAUGACGAUCAUUCAAUAAUUAAAAACGUGUUUUAAUGUCAAAAUACAUACAAUUUAAAAGUUAAAAGUUCAUAAUACAAGGUUCAUAGCAAAUCUUAGUUCAAAAUAAUUUAGCCGCACAUAAUGUUGAUAUUAAACAAAGAAAGGAUAAAAGACAUCACCAAAAAUCGGCGAAAUAUCAUUAAUUCCCACUCAAUUGUUUAUAAAUUAUCAAACAAAGAUUGGGAAUGAAUUCCAGUUUCCAAAGCUGCUGCCCAAUUUUGUGUAUGUCUUCUCUUCUGCCAAUACGCGUGUGAAUAUAUAUUCCAUUCACAGCCACCAACUUAUACUUAUCUCCAAACAGCUUCUUUUGUGUGUGUUUUUUUUUUUUAAAUAAUUUCCAGCAGCCUGCCUUUUUAUGUGUUUACGUAAUAUGCAUGUAAUCGGCCCUCUUCAAAUUCUGGCCAUAUGUAUAUAUAUUUAUGUUUUCCUCCAACAGGCGCCGUUUUCUGUAGGUGUAUGUGUGUGCCUUUGUAAUUCCCUCAGCCUCAAUUCUAUGCCGGCAACCUUCAAUUUUUUUCUUCCUCCCCGCUUUUGCCGUUUCGCAUGUGUAUAUAUAUAUAUAUAUAUUCCCACAGCAGUAGGUAGCCCUUUCCUUUUUUUUUUUUUGGCCCUUUAACAAGAGCCCAAUUGGUUGAUUUUUAUUUAGAGGAAAUUACAGCCAAAAUUUUAAUACCAGAUUUCAUUUAUAAAGGUUAAAGUUUGUGAAUUUAGAAAUCGGGUUUUAAUUUUUUUAAUUAUUAACACAUUUAUAUAUUUCUUAAAUGUAACUAUUCCGUUCUUUACGUUAAAAUUGGAGAGACUAUUUUCAAAUAAGGUAACGAUAUCUUUAGAAAACCUCCUAACCGCAAUGCACAAUCUCCCAUGAUCUACCUACUAAAUUGAUACAUACCCAAACGAUAGAAACCGCCCUCUUAUGUAUAGGCAACGAAACCCCAUUUCACGGCUUCUCAGUUUUAUAGGAAACGAAACCCCACAUCACCGCCCUUCACUGUUACAGGCGACGAAAGAGAAUAAACCCCACAUCACUGCCAUUCACUGUCACAUGCGACGAAAGAGAAUAGCGAAAAUGAAGAGUUCCGACCGGCAAUCACAACUGGAGAAAGGUGAUUCAUAUGCCCUAGAAAACAAACCGCUCGAAAGGAGAUUCGCGACGAAACACCGAGACAAGGAACGAAGAAUGUGAGUAUUCUGUGACCCUUUUUCAUGAAAGGGGUAAUUUUUUUCUCCGAUUUUCAUGAGUCAUUUCGAACGGUAUAGGGCUACGUUUGGUGGGCUAUGUGUUCGGCUUAUGAUUGUGUAAAAAUUUGUGACCAUUGUUCGAUUAAUCGGUAUUUUGGCUUGUGUCUGGGUUGUGUGAACAUUUUUUUGGCGUAAUUGAUUGUGGGGUGUGACUGCUGUGUGCGAUGUCUUAGCAUAGGGAUGGUUGUUGAGUAAUCUUGAAAAGAUAAGUGGUGGGUUAUGAACAAUUUGUGUUGUGAACUUUGUGUGAAUGUGGUUUGUGUCAAAUUUGGUUAUGAACAAGAUGUUGUGUGACUACGGUCUACAGAUGGUUUCUGAACGUCCACAUAGUUUGUGACCGACGCUGUAAACCAUAACUUGCUCUCUGACUUUCUGGUAGACGAAUGAGUCUACAAUGGGAAGUGAAUGUGACCUCUGUGUGCCCCAUAAACAACUUGUAACAUAGAUUUGAAUUUGUUCUUACAUCUGGUAUACAUAGUUUGUGACCAACACUGUAAACUAUAACUUGUUCUCUGACUUUCUGGUAGAUGAUUGUGUCUACAAUGUGAAGUGACUGUGAUCUCUGUGUGCCCCAUAAACAACUUGUGACAUGGAUUUGAUUUUGUUUUUACAUCUGGUAUACAUACAUUAACAAGAUCUUUGAAAUAUAUUUUUCACUUUGCCAUUAAUGUUUUGCAGGAAUGGAACUACAUUAUCCCCGAAGAUCAAUGGUUCCCGGGUAAAAUUACCACAAAUGUAAUGAAGAAUGUUUUGACAGAUUUCAAAUCAAAGUUCACUGACGAACAGAAGGUCAUCUUGGCAAACACAUGUUUUUCAUAUUACAUGGAUUGCCGAGAAUUUGUUGUACAGCCCCAACUCAUACACUACUUUUUGCUGAGGGAGGUUAAGUAACCAAAUCAUAAUGAGAUGUGGUUCAAGAUUGCGAAUAGAUAUUUGCGGUUCUCAUUGUGUGAGUUUUGUUUGGUCACAGGUCUUAGAUAUAAUGGCAAGGACGUUAGGAGAAGGCUUGAGAACGUCCCUUCUAGGAUCAAAGAAACAUAUUUUGGGGAUUUGAAACUAGUGACAAACAACGACGUGCUUGAUAUGUUUUUGAAUUUGUCGGAUGUAGAUGAUCAUGAUGUUGUGAGUAUUGGGAUUCUAUAUUUCAUUACGUCAUUUCUUUUCUCUACGUCAUAUACGAAGUUGUUGAAAGUUAUUUGUUCUCUUUAGUAGAAGAUUCUGUUGCGAUGGAGAGGUUUCGAUGGGGUAAGGACUUAUUUGAGAUUUCUAUAAAAUCUUUGAAAGAGAGUUUGGGACAUAGAAAUCCUCACUACGGACUAAAGGGUUUUUUGGUUGCAUUUCAAGUUUGGAUUUAUGAGUGCAUUCCAAGCCUCAAUGGACCUGUGACCAAUAGGGUGGGGAACCGGCACCCCCGUAUUAUGAAUUGGGCAUUGUACAAACAACCUUCUACAUCAAAUUGGAUGAAGAAGUCUUCUCCCAUUCCGAUGUAAGUGUGUAAAUAUUUUGUAUUUUUAUAUGUAGCUCACUGCUAUUGUAGUCAUAAAUCACCGGUCAUAAAACACACAGUUGUUAUAGUUCACUUGUUCGCAUGUCACCAAUCAUAUGCGUAGGUCACAGAACUCUGAGUUAUCAAGGCAUAUAGAUGCAGAUUAUGGGACCUAUGUGUGCGAGUCACAAACUGCGUGCACAAGUCAUAGGCCACAGACUUGUUAUAUUUUCACAAGUGUUAGCAGUUCAGAACACGAUGUAAGUGUGUAAAUAUUUUGUAUUUUUAUAUGUAGCUCACUGCUAUUGUAGUCAUAAAUCACCGGUCAUAAAACACACAGUUGUUAUAGUUCACUUGUUCGCAUGUCACCAAUCAUAUGCGUAGGUCACAGAACUCUGAGUUAUCAAGGCAUAUAGAUGCAGAUUAUGGGACCUAUGUGUGCGAGUCACAAACUGCGUGCACAAGUCAUAGGCCACAGACUUGUUAUAUUUUCACAAGUGUUAGCAGUUCAGAACAUUUUCACGUGUUCACAGGUCACAAACUGUAUGCGUAGCUCACAAAAACACUGACUUGUUGAGGCACUUAGUUUGAAAAAAUGGAACCUGUGUACGCAGUCACAAACUACGUGCAUAGGUCACAGGCCACAAUCUUCUUAUAUUUCGAAAGUGUUAGCAGGUCAUAAACUAUAUGUCAUGCAAACUGGUUCAGCAAUUAUAUGUUUAGGUCACAAUGCUUGAUGGUCAAUUUAUGAAUAGUUGAUUAAUAUGUUACUGAAUUAUAUGAUGGUCGCAUAUUGAAGUUCGUGACAUUAUCCCAUCUGAGAAUGAACUGGCAGCUUCAUACAUGAGUGGUGUUCUAUACAACAAACCAAUUCAACCAUGUAGACAAUGCGAUUUUUGCUCUCAAGAUCCAAAACUAUGAAGGCAUGAGUGCUGCUAUGCACUCUCAUAUGUCCACCCUAAGUUUGUUAAUGAUUACAGAUGGACAAAAAGGUCAUUGCAGUGAUGUUGAGUCCGACGAUGAUGAUGAUUUCGUUGAUACACCACCCAAGAGGCAGAAGACAUCACACUAUUUCCGUCCACCAGGCGAAAAGCACACAACAUAUGAAUAUUUUCCAACAGAACCAGAAGGACCUGAGACGAAUACUCCAAUCAAGCCGCAGGAAACAUGUACCGAUGCUGAACCAAAUGUAAGUUCCUUGUAUAUAUGUGUGCAAGAUACAAGGUGUGAAUAAUAGUACAUAGCAUAGGUCAUAAUUCUCAUUGAAUGCAUUGACACUGAUCUGUUACAGAUUGUUGACCAGUUGAGAAAGGAGUUGAGUAACCAAAUCCCUGAACUCUAGAGUAAGAAUAUUGAUUUGACAUUGCAGCUUAACGAUGUGAAGUCACAGUUAACAUCCUUGAAGGAGAACAUGAGCAGUAAGAUAGAUCAAAUUAUUUGCAUGCAAGGUGACAUUCGUUCAGAGAUGGCUGACAUACGUUCAAGCAUGAUUUUUUUGUCUGAUUAUGUGACUACGUUGAUAUCAAGUACGAUGGAUGCUAUAUGCCAAAAGCGAAGGACAGAGUGCUCGAGUUGUAGACCCGCAGGAUAGGGUACAUACUCCUCUAUGUUCAAUUCUUUUAUGAUGUUCAUACCUCACAUUGCCAAUUUAUAUUGUAUUAGAUUAGGUCACCAAUGUUGAACAAACAAUGGACAAGAAAGGCAAGGGCAAGAUGGACCCCGCUGAUGACAUCGAAUAUUUGUACUUUUCCCCGACCCCAUCUUUCGAUUUGGGAAUUGAUUCCACACCAAUCAUUUCAAAUGUUGCAAGUAUGGAUGAAAUGUUCAAAUCCAAGGAAGUACAACAACAGGUUGACGCUGUAAUAGCUGGUGUGGUGAAGGAAACCGAUGUUGAGGAGUAAGUUGGCAUGACGACGACAACCAUAAAUGAGGAGCAGGCAAUAUUUUUAGAUCCUCUGGCAUACGUAUUUUUGUAUGGUCACAAACAUAUGUCACAACUAACAUGUUAACACAACAAGUUUGUCACAUGUUAUAGAUACAAUAGUCAUGUGCACGUGUUAAUAUUCCAUAUACUCUGGCACAAAUUAAUAUCACUAAGAUUUCUUUGUAGGUCACAACAUUCAGUUAUUUUUCGACAUUGUCUGCAUAAAUAUAUAAAAACACCUUCUCUGAACAGAUUCAUUAUUUUCCAACAUGUAGGGUUCUCCUCCUUCGGCACCGACAUCUGGCCUUCCAGUUAAGAGAGCUCCUAGAUCGACAUAGAUUUUGCAGUCCUCAUAUGUUACUGAUGCUGAAAAAUAAAGCAAGCAUUGAGAUGGUGUUAUCGUAUUUGACAAGCAUGACAAGCCAGCGGACGAGGCUGAUGUAGUUGCGUUUCAAAAUUGGUUUAACCGAGGUUACAAACCAAGAAAUAAGUAUGUAUCUUCUAAGUUUUUGUGUGCUCGGGCUUCUUAUGAAUUCAUUGGGAGUUUUAAUUAGUAGUUAACUGCUCUUUUUUCGUUGCAGAAAGAAGUUUAACGAUGCGGAUGAUCAUAUUAAACUGCUCUUUUUAAUUGGUUCGUUCCCGAUCGACUCAAAAAUGUGGUGGCAUGAACUUAUCUAUUCUGAAUCUUUGUUGACUGGGAUGGUAUGAUCCAUAGUUCUAAACAGUCACAUUGUAAAUAAUCAUGUGCUUGUAAAAGUUUUGAACAGUUCAUAUUUCAACGCCUUUUUUACGGUUCAUAUGUCGAACAGUCAGGACACGGUUGUUGUCCACAUAUCAGGAGUCACAAUACACAAGUCACUGGUCACAGUAGACAGGUCACAACUGUGUAUGUUGUUGAAACUCCCAGAGGUCACAUAUCACAUCUGCACAGGUCACAACUACCCUUCAUCGGUCAAAAUCGACAGGUGACAAGACAGGUCACAGUAACCAGGUCACACUAAGUAUGUUGACUAUAGGUCACAGGUCACAUCUACAUAGGUCACAAAUUCCGUUUCCUGUUCAAAAGACACAAGUCUGCAAAUUUUACAGAUUAUGUCUAACAGGCCACAACCUCAUUGCAUACAGGUCACAAGUCACACUUCACAGUUUAUCAAACACCUUUCAAUGUUCAACGCACUCGUGUCGCAUUUCCACUUUAGACGUUUUAAACUGUUUACAAAUCACAGCAUUGUUACAAAUUCGUUUUUAUUGCCACAUCCACAUGCUAGAUAACCGUCUUUUAUGUUUUACAGCAUAUGGACGUAUGUUUUCAUUACCUAUGGCAGUUUGUAGAACGAAGUCCAGAUGCAAAAUCGAGUAUUACAACAACUGAUACCCUAUUUCAAGCCAAGAUAAAAAAAACAUAUUUUCCCAAUUUCAGAAAGAUCAAAAUGUGAUAAUGACAGACUCUACAAUUAUAAUGACAGACUCAUACAUUGUAGAGGUUGCCACAGGUAGGCAAUUAGAAUUCAGUCAUUCGUGGUCUGAAGUUGAGUAUGUACUUAUCCUGAUUUUGCCCACAAAUCGUGCACACUGGAUGCUGUGUUGCCUAGAUAUAAGAAAUCAUAAAAUGUAUGUAUUUAAUUCCAGCUAUAAGACCUAUCGUUAUAGAAUGGUUUUUGUCGAGGUUGAGCCAUUUGCCCUAAUCAUCCCGCGUUUGUUGUUUGGAUUGGGCAUUUGGAAGAAAACUUUUGAUGAUAAUGAUAAAGAUCCAAUGGCGUUAACAGUGUUGCUUGCUGACAACAUUCUGCAUCAAUAGAAUGGGUAUGGUUAUGACUUGUAUUCAUUUUGUGACUUGUUGAUCGUACAAUUUUGGUACAAUAUAGUGUCAUAUCUGAUGUGCUACCCUUUUUUUAUUUUUUUUUAGCCAUGAUUGUGGCAUCUUCGUCAUUAAGUUUGCAGAGUACAUAUUGCAUAAUGACAUGAAGUCAAUGCCAAUGAAUCUUGACGCUAACCGAGCUAGGUUGGACAUUGCUACUCGAUUGUCUAAGCAUAAGGAAAUCAAGAAGGAAACAAACUCUAUGUGCAGGUCACAGAGCGCUCAAUUGUCAUAGCACAGUUUGCUGAUUAGUCACGGCACAUUGUUACGGAUAAUAUGUGACCCAGUUCGCGCAGGUUACAGUCAAUAUACAUAGGCACAAGACACAGUUUGUUAUAGCUCAAACUUUGUAAUGGUUCAUGUUUUCACAGGUCACAAACUCUAUGUGCAGGUCACAUAGCACUCAGUUGUCAUAACACAAUUUGCUGACUAGUCAUGGUACAUUGUUGCGGAUAAUCUGUGACCCAGUUCACGCAAGUCACAAUCAAUAUGCAUAAGGCACAAGUCACAGUUUGUUAUAGUUCAAACUUUGUAAUGAUUCAUGUUUUCACAGGUCACAUAGCACUCAGUUGUCAUAGCACAGUUUGCUGAAUGGUCAUGACACAUUGUUGCGGAUAAUUUGUGACCCAAUUUGCGCAGGUCACAAUCAAUAUGCGUAGAACACAAGCCAAAGUUUGUUAUAGUUCAAACUUUGUAAUGGUUCACGUUUUCACAAGUUACAAACUCUAUGUGCAGGUCAUAGAGCACCCAACAGUCAUAGCACAGUUUGCUGACUAGUCACGACACAUUGUUGUAGAUGAUAUGUGACCUAGUUCGUGUAGGUUACAAUCAAUAUGCGUAAGGCACAAGACACAGUUUGUUGUAGUUCAAACUUUUCCACAGGUCACAAAUUAUUUAGGGAGGUCACAAACGAAAUAGUUGUCAAGGGCUGUAGUUGUAUAGAUUAUACCACCUAUGUGCAUAGAUCACAUACUACAAUACACAGGUCAUAAGUCCCAGAGUAAUUAUAUUUAACAAGUGGUCGCAGGUCACAAUGUAAAUGCUCAUGCAUACUGGUUCACACAUUGGUCACAGAUGUCCAUACCAAAGGUCAAAGAUUAGCGUCUUAUAUUCACAAGUCUCAUGCAGAUGUGCAUAGUUUAGAAGUCAAGCAAAUUAGGUAUAGGCACAUGUAGUAAUCCAUACUUGCUUCCCCAAUUAUGUGGAAAAUAUACACACCUAAAUGAAUAGCCAUAAGUUCACAUUUAUUUUUUCAAUUGUUACUGAUCAAAUACAAAUUGCAAUAACAUUUUUUUUGUCAAUGUCCAAAUGCAAGUGUAAAUGCGAACAAAUCAUAAGAUGAACACUAAAUUCCAGUAUCAAUAACAUCUCACAAAUUUCUAGAUUUGUUUUGGAUUAAUGGAAGCAAGUUGUUGCACGUUCUACAAUUGUAACCACUUCCUUCACAACGUCCGCAUUUCACAGUUUGUUUCCCCUCCGAGCAAGAUAUUUUCCUCCUCCGAGCAAGAUAUUUUCCUCUUUUCAGCAGGUCUUCCUGAAAUUCUCUUUUGAUUAGGUGGCAGAAUGGUUCUGUCUUCUACCUCUCGAGGCACAGUCCACUCAUGUGAGUUUUCAACUGGGUAUACUGUGUAUUGGUAUGUAUUUAUGUAUGACUCCCUUGUGUAGAAGUACGAACAAUAAUCGAAUGGGUCUACUUUAAUUUUUGCUAUUACAGCCAACACAUGUGGACAUGGCAUUUGAUCAACCUGAAGCAUCUAACAUGUGCAAGUCCGUCUCUCUAUAUCGAUGACAAAUGAUCCAUCAUCAGCAAUCGAAAAAAUCGUCUAGUUCGCUGGAGAAACCUGGUCACAAACAGCACAACGUCAGGUCAAGUAUGUCAAGUAUUUGAUUUCUCAUCAGGUCACACAUAUGAUCUCAUGUUACAAAUGUCGUGGUUACCCUUAAGUUCCUCAGAGCCGUGCUCAUCUCUCUCAACAAUUUCUCGUACUUGGUUGACAACUUUAUAAAGGUGCCACCUGCAGUGUCCAUAUUCUUACAAAGCCAAGAUUGUAUUGUUUGUCUCAACGAAUCCAACAAAGCUAUGAUAGGAUAGUUCGUUUACCGAUUCCACGAUAUUAGAGGUCAUUUGGAAUACCUAUUUACAGGCAUGUGGAGUCGUGACCACCUUUUUAGUCUAACUUCAUUCUACAAAUUGAAAAUGCUAUUAGAUUGGUAUGCGUAUAGCAAUCGAAGACUGUAUACACUCAUAAAGUUAAAUCUUACCAGAUAACCUAUAAUUUUCUUGUUCAUUGUGUCCAACUGUUGCAUGUUGUACUCGAAAUUCGACAAAGUGUAUGCACGAAGAGCUGAAUUGAACGCUUGCACUAUAAUGCGACUUGAUUUACCAAAACGAAAUUUUAAGUUUUGUAGUAGAUGGUACGAACAGAUUUCAUGGCUUGUCCCCGGAUAAACCUGUUCGAUUGCGUUCUUUAUACUAUUAUGCUGAUUUGAUACAAAACAAGGGCCUUCCCUGUUGCCAUAAACACUCUUCAGGUUUUCUUAAAACCAUUUCCAAGAUCUAUCAUUUUCGUUAUCUCCAAUUCCAAAUGCAAGUACGAAAAUGUUGUUGUUUGCAUCCUAUGUACAUGCUGUAAACAGAGUGCCACCGUAGUGCCCAUUCAAGUACGUGUCAUCAACAAAAAUUACAGGCCUACAAUGGACCCAUCCUUGAAUUGAUGCACCAAGUGCCAUGAAACAGUACCUGAAUCUACUCUGACAAUCAACAUCCAACUCUGUGACCAUUCCAGGAUUUGUCUGUUGAAGCAUAUAAAAGUAUCCUGGCAGCUGCCUAAAUGAUUCUGUCCAAUCCCCUCUUAUUAAUCUCAAAGUUUUUUUCCCGAGAUCUUAAUGCAUUCACGUAGUUCAAUGUAACCCCAUAGGUAUGCAACAUGUCAUUACAUAUAUCGUGCAGAGUGUAAAUAUUACGUGAUGACGUGUACUUAUACUUGAUGCAUGAGGACACGACAGACGCCGACACUUGCCUAUGAGAUCCCAAAACAAUGUUGGAAGCGCAUGUGUGACCAUCAGUUAUAUUUCGAAUCUUGAAAAUCUCUGUUUUUUCCAACCUUGAAGACCUGUAUAUCCAAUUGCACUCAUCAUUUGAGCACUUGACGAGGUAUUCCUUUUUGCCUGAUCGAAUACCACAUAUUCAAACAUGCUUUGUAUGGUGAAAAAAGACAAACUCAAUUUCAGAACUUCCUUGUCACAGAACACUCUGCCUUCUUUUAUGCUCAUAGCAUCAAGAACAGAUACAGUUGUGACCAAACGUUCGUCAACCUCCGAUGAUGGUUCAACAACUGCCUCACAUAUGUCAUUUGUUAUAUGCUGCAAUGGAUACACCCCUGCACUAGAUUGUUCGUUAAGUGCAAUCGGCUUGGCCAGUGUACAACUUAGUGCUUCUUGUCCUAUUUCUGUAGAUGUCACAUCAACAUUAAUGGGGUAUUAGGAAGGGUUACGGUCGAUACUUUUGAGAGUUACGUAGGAGAGAACAUUUCUGACUUGUUAUUUUGACGGGUGGAAGAUCAAUGCUCAGAAUGUAGCUCAUUGUGACGGCCUCCUUUGUAGUCUCGAGAUCGAAUUCUGCCACCACUAUUUCCUCAAGCUUCAAGUAACAACAAUUAUGGUCAAUCACCACCAGUGCUGUCUGCGAUUUGUAUAGCAAGCAUACGUGUACAUAUCCCAUUUCUACAAAUGUAAUGGAAGUAUCAUAGUUGCUUAGAGUUGAUAUAGUAUUUGUCACAGAUGGUAAUGACAAUUUCACACACAAUUGGAGGUACAAAAGAUACAUUUGGUAACAUAAGCUUAACAAUAACAGAGAAAUCAAUCCCAGAGACCAAUUGAAGGUCACAGAUCUAAAAUCCGUCACACAUACAGGUCACGUGAGCAUCUAUCUUCCAGGAAGUGACUCCAAUUCAACAUUCAUAUUGCAGCUUGCCCAACAGGAUCACACAAUAAUGCAGUCACACAUAGUGGGCACAAUAAUGCAGCUAUCCCUACCUAAUCAAACAUUCAUAAUGUGACAAGUGACAUAAUAAUGCAGUCACAUAUGCGAAAGCGGAAUCCAAAUGCAAAACAUGUAGUCUGUUGCAUUAUAAAAACGUAGACGUUGAAUCACAUACCUGUCUAUAGUGCAGAUCCUAGAAACCCCAGAGAAGUAUGGUUGUUUGAUUCGGUAUCAGUAAUUUCGAUUGUUGUGACCUUUGACGUUGAUUACGUUGAUUAGCAACUCCGACGAGCAAAUAUCGCGAAGAUUUCAUUCCUGUGGAUUUCGCGAUCAUUUUAUUGGACCCGACGUUGACUUUGUGACUGAAAUUUCUGUUGGAAUUGUAACAGACUGCUUAUUUUCAGGAGCCAUCUGCAAUCAUACCAUAUUUAUGUGUGUUCUAUUUAUAAAAAUAUAUAUACACAUCUAAUUAUAUAAAAUAUGGUAAAUUUAAUUGAGACCUGAUUUAUGAAUAUGUAACCCCUGACACUUAAAAUUGAAAGGUUGUUUGUUGAUAGCCUGUGAUAUGUAUUGUUCCCUUUUAUUUAGUUCAAACAUAAGUCCAAAGUAGGCCCAUUUAGUGUAUAAUUUUGUUCAAGCCAUCAAUUCUCUUAAAAUAGUGCAAUUUAGUCCUUGAGUUCAUCCAAUUGUGCAGCCUACGUCUUCAUCAAUUCAAAUUAAACCCUGCAAUUUUCAAAGUGUGGAAUUUGAUCCCCCAAACUUGCCUAUUUCAUUCAAUUUCAUCAUUUAUUUUUCCAAUUGCUUCAAAAUGAUUCCAUCACUAAAAGCAAAAGAAAAUUAAACCAAGUUAAGUAAAAUUUAAUAAUUUGACGACAUAAAGGCUUAAUAGAAUGGCAUAAAUAAGUGCAUAAAACACACUUAUUAGUGAUAACUCGAGCAGCUUUGGUGUCCAAAAUAAUUUUGCUAAGUAGUGCUUGGAUUCAGUUGAUUUUGUUUUGUUAUUGUGUUUACCUUAGUUGGGUUUUAUGAAAGAGGCGGAGACAUUUGUGUUGGGGAGUUAUUAUUAUUAUUAUUAUUAUUUUGUUGAAAAGUCAUUGAUUUAUUCAUUGCAUUGAAAUUUGUUUUCAAGUGGAGAAUUUUGAAAUUUAUUCACUGUAUUGGAAUUUGAUUCAAGAUGGAGAUUUGUUGAAAUUUGACCUAAAUUCCAUUGAGUUUCUAGCGGACCAUUUGAAGAAUGGUAUUAAAGGGAUCAAAGUUGGACAUUGGAGUCUUUGGAGCAUCAAUUUUGGUGGCCUAGGAGCUGUUCAAGGAGAAGAAAAGAAUUUUGAACCUGAAUCAAGGCGCUUGAGCGCCAUUUAGGGUGUUGGAUUUGCCACCCACUUGCUUUUUUGCUUGAGCUCCGCAUGUCGUUAGCCAACUACUCGAGUGGCAGUAUUAUUCUGAGAAAUAUUAUUUUUGUUUUACUGGCUUCUUUUUUAUCAUCUUUCCAUCUAUAAUAUAUAUUCCUUUAGGUCCAUUAUAUUCCAAGUGAUUAUUGAUAUUAAAUUAGGUCUUAAAUUUCAUUGUAUAGAAUUGAAAUACAAUUUAUUGUAUAUUUUCUCUUAUUAUGAAUAAAAUUCUCCUCAUCUGCAUGUAGUGUUUUCUACGUUAAUUCUAUGUGUUCUUGUGUUGUAAUCUUUAUUUUAUAUUCUGUCAUACAUCACUAUUCUCUAAUAAAUGGUAUUAGCACGUGCAAUUAUUUGGUUAGAUUUGUUAACAAGUGGUAUCAAUACGAUACGUAGUUCUACACAACCAAUAGCUCGAUUUCUAGCAAGCAUACAUAAUCCUUGCUAGUCUUAAUAAAUAAUAAUUCUUUUGAUGCUUGCAAUUAGAUUAUUAUUAAUUAUCAGUUGAUAUUAGAGUAAAACGAAAACUACCAAACAUGGAAAGAAAUGGCGUAUGUAUUUAGACAUUUUGAAUUUGAAGAUGCUUUCUCAUUGGAGAAAUUUACUUAUUCAGGGUGUUUAGAUUGUGAAUUGAUUUUGUCAAUGUUUUCAAAAUCAUCUGGAUCAUUGAUUUGGAAAUGUAAAAAGGUCAAGGGGUCAAACAAUCAAAUCGGAUUGAACUUGAGUGUAUAUCAAUAAUCCCACAUCAAUUCAAUGGACAAAAGGGAAUAAAAAGCAAAUUGUUUAAACAAGGUUCGCAAAUUGUUAAACAGCAACUUUUGGGCUUUGUUUAGUUAUUGGGCUUAUAAAGUUUCUGUUCCUUUUAGAUAGGGAAAAAAUCACAAAUUACCAAGUAAAGAAAAAUAAUUUAUUAAAUACUACACAUUAAUUAUAUUUUAUAGAUCCGAACAUUAUAGAAAAGUAUACCAAAAUUACUAUGAUUUUAAUUUUGUAACUGAGGCAUAUGCAGUGGCAAAGAAAACGCCUACCAUGAAUUGAAAUUUCUUAUCAUCUUCUCUCAAUUAAAACCUCAUGGAAAGUUCAAAUUACGACACAAAAAGGGAAGAAUUGCGUAAUCUAAAAGAUAACUGACACCUCUGUGUUGGGUAUUUUUUGGUAAGUGAUACCCAAAUCCCCUAAGCAAUGAUGAAAAUCGAGGCCCGUUUAACUUCAUAGGCUAUAAGCCUAAUAUUGAAGAAUAUAUUGGACCCACACCACAAUUGAUGUAACCCAAUUGUGUUGGGUACUUUGGAGGAAAUCAGCCCAUUGGGCUAAAUGCUCAAUACCCGACUAUGGAGAUAAAUGAAAUCACAAAAGAUAGAAUUGGUUGCAAAUAAUUAUCUCGUGAUAAUUAUCAUAUCCCUACUGUUUCUGUUGGACUCAAAUUUAAACUUCCCUGCUAUCUUGGAGAUUUGAUUUCCCUCGUGAUAAUAUACAAGAGUUUUAAUAUAUCCAAAAACUCAACCAAUUUGAAAUAAAUAGAGAAGCCGGCUGCCUUCUUCUUCCAAGUGUGAGAACUUUUCUUCCUUCUCUGUGAAAACCGAAGUCGACCUUUGUGGUGUGCCUUUGUGUGCCUUUUCUUCUUCGUGAAUGAAAAAGUCUCCCAAUUGAAGUUACCUUUGUGGUGUUGGGUCGAAGAUUUCUGAGCCGGAUUUAAAAGGGGGAUUUCGUUUCAUUUUCUUCCAUUACAUUUCAGUUUCUGCAUUUCAUUUAAGUUUACUGCUUCAUUUUGGUUCCUUGAAUUCCAUUACAUUUAUUUGAUUUAAUCCUUGAUUAACCUUUGUUGUGUGGUUGCAGGUUGGAUUAAAAACAACACUCUGUAUCAGAGCUUGGUGGUGGUGGAAUUCAGACCAAAAACCGGCCAGAAACUGAAGGAGAAGAAAACCCGUUCGAAAAUUUUUGAAAAAAUCGAGGCUAAAAACUCCAAUUCCGGCCAAACCACUAACCAUCCGGGAAAACUGAGGCCAGACCCAUAACCAGCAGGUGGAGGCGCUCCUGGUGGUGGUGGUGAUUUUUUUCGGCGACGGCGCGUGGUGGUCCGGCGGCGACGCGUGGAGAUUCCUGUGGCGACGCGUGGCGGCGCGUGGAGCUGAUUCCGACGAAACUGUCUUCAGGCAGUUUGUUUCUCUUGUCAUUUCUAACAUUUUUCGUGUUGGAAGUUUUCUGUUUCAGGUUACGUAGAAAAAGUUGGACGAUUUUGCCCUUGGUGGUCGCUGGUCCGAUCUGCAGUACAUUUACUGAAUUACUUUAGGCCAAGAUUGCGGUCCUAAAGCAGUAAAUUCGCAUCUCUCGUAGCUUACGGACUCAGAAAAGUCCGCUCUGGUAAAUUGGCUGAAACUUUUAAAUUAUCACAAUAGCAGAUCAUCGUGUGGGGUGAUCAUUAGGAUUGGGGGUUGUCAUUGCUUGGCAACCAUUGCUUGAUGCUAGAAUCUAGGAUUACUUGCCAAUAUUUGUUUAAUUUCUAAGUGAAAUUAUUUAUUGUGUUUAGAAUUUGUUGAACGUUGUUGCGUUUUAAAUCUCAUAUUAUUUAGACUUGUACCCGGACUCCUAUUCUAGUUUCUUCCCUUGACCUGAGAACGUGAUUCUCACGGAAUCCUGGGGUUCUAGAAAUAGAGUAUUAUUGUGAAACCAUAGGAUUUCUUGUUACUUUGUGUAAUCUGUGUAACCUGUGAUCUUUUACAUAUCGAAUUUUGUGUUCUGUGCAUUUUUGAGUAAGAUGUCGACACAUCACUUUGAGUUGGGUGUCUUUAAUGGUAAAGGAGAUUUUUCAAUUUGGCAACAGAAAAUGAAAGGCAUUCUUGUUCAACAAAAAGUUUCUAAAGCAAUUGAUGAUUCUUUUCCUGCAACUUUGACUGAUGAAGAAAAAGAAAAUUUGGAUGAAUUGGCAUAUACUUCUAUAAUUUUACACUUGUCUGAUGCGGUAUUAAGAAAAGUUGGUAAAUUAAAAUCAGCUCAAGAACUUUGGGAAAAAUUGGAGGAACUUUAUGUUUCGAAGUCCACUCCAAACAAACUUUUUUUACUUGAAAGCUUUUUUAGUUUCAAAAUUGAUUCUUCAAAAAAUUUGAAUGACAAUUUAGAUAUUUUCAAUAAACUUGUGCAAGAUAUCAAUAACUGUGGUGAAAAAGUAUCUGAAGAAUAUAAGGCUAUCAUUUUGUUAAAUGCUAUACCUGAUACUUAUAGAGAGGUUAAAAGUGCUAUUAAAUACGGGAGAGAUACUUUAACACCUGAAAUUGUCAUAGACUCGUUAAGAAGUAAAGAUAUGGAAUUGCGAGCCGAAAGAGUCGAGAGAAAAAGUGGUGAGGUUCAUAUGAUGAGAGGUAGGUCUCAGUCUAGAACUCAUGAUAACCAAAGUGGAUACGCAUUCGGUAGUAAAAAGAAGAGUAGAAGUUUAUCUAGGUCAAAAGGUAAAUCUAAAGGUAGAAAAUGCUAUGGGUGCGGUAAAACUGGACAUUUUAUUAAAGAUUGUUAUGUUGAGAAAAACAAACAAAAAGAAAAGAUUCACGAUGAGGAAAAUGUUAUUACAUAUUCUGAUGAAUUUUGUGAAGUUUAUGUGUUAUUAAACUCUAAACCUACUGAAGUAAAUUUGACUGUGAAAUCACAUUUAAAUGAAUGGAUACUUGAUUCUGGUGCAUCGUUUCAUGUUUCAUCACAUAAAACUUGGUUUGAAAACUUGCAAGAAUCUGAAAGUGGACAUGCUAUUCUGUGCAAUAAUCAUGCAUAUAAAAUUGCUGGAAUUGGUGAUAUCACGUUAAAAUUUGACACUGGUAAUGUGCUUAAAUUACAUGGAGUUAGAUAUAUUCCUGAAAUGGCUAGGAAUCUUAUUUCAGUAGGAGCAUUAGAAACUGAUGGUUUUUCUGGUAAAAUUGGAAACAACAUGCUGAAAAUGAUUAAGGGUGCUCUUGUCACAUGUAAAGGUAUUAAAAGAAAUGGUAUUUAUGUGACUGCUGCUGAAAUUAUUAAAAAUUCAUCUUCCUCUAUAAAUUUGACCAACAAAGAUGACACACACAAGUGGCACAAUAGAUUAGCUCACAUAAGUAUUAAAGGACUUAAACUGCUAAAUGAUAAAGGUGUAUUUGGAAAUGACUGUGUGUCUAAUAUGCCUUUUUGUGAUCACUGUGUUCUUGGAAAACAUCAUAAGUUGUCUUUCUCAUCUGGCAUGCACAAAACUACUAAAGUUUUGGAAUAUAUUCAUACUGAUUUAUGGGGGACUGCUACUAAUCCUAAAAUGGGUGGUAAUAGAUAUUUUAUAUUCAUAAUUGAUGAUUAUUCUUCUAGGGUAUGGGUUUAUCUGCUAAAAGAUAAAAUUGAAACCUUUAAAAUUUUCAAAAUAUGGAAAUUGCAAGUUGAAACUCAAAUUGGAAAAAAAAUAAAAUAUCUAAGAACUUAUAAUGGCUUAGAGUUCUGUAAUAAUAAUUUUGAUGAUUUGUGUGAAAAACAUGAAAUUACUAGACAUAAAACUGUUUCUUAUACACCUCAACAAAAUGGGGUGGUUGAACGUAUGAUCGUACUUUACUUGACAAAGUUAGAUGUAUGAUGUUGAAUUCUGGAAUUCUUAAAUCUUUUUGGGGUGAAGCUGUUAUCACUGCGUGUUAUCUGAUUAAUUUGACACCUUCUACUGCAUUAAAUGGUGACACUCCACAUGAAAAAUGGUAUGGUAAAUGUGCUGACUAUACUGUGUUAAAAACAUUUGGCUGUGCUGUUUUCUCUCAUCAAAACGAGGGAAAACUAGAACCUAGAGCUAGGAAAUGUGUUUUCUUAGGAUACCCUGAAGGAGUUAAAGGGGAUAGGCUUUGGGAUAGAAGUCAAACUGGAGUUAAGAUCAUCGUAAGUCGUGAUGUUACAUUUAAUGAGUCUGAAAUCUCCCAGACAAUGGUACAAACGUUUUGAUUCUUUUGUUAAAACUGUUGGUUUUAAAAGGAGUGAAUUUGAUCAUUGCUUAUACUAUCAAGGAAAUGCUAAAAAUGAUAACUGUGUGUUUUUAUUGCUAUACGUGGACGAUAUGCUUUUAAUUGGUCCCAACUUGAAAUUGUUAAAUGACAUAAAAAUGACUUUGAGUAAUGAAUUUGAUAUGAAAGACCUUGGUAAUGCUAAAAGAAUUUUAGGCAUGGAAAUCCAAAGAGAUAGGUCUAAUUCAAUUUUAUCUUUGCAUCAGACUCCAUACAUCAUGAAAAUCUUGAAGAAAUUUGACAUGAAUGAUUGCAAACUUGUUACAUUACCUUUAGCUAAUCACUUUGUAUUAUCUAAAGAACAAUCACCUGCUAAUGAAGAAGAAGAGGAAUAUAUGAAAAAUAUUCCUUAUAUGAAUGCCAUUGGUUCUGUGAUGUAUUUAAUGGUGUGUACUAGAGCUGACUUAGCAUUUGUUGUUAGUACACUUAGCAGGUAUAUGUCCAACCCUGGUCCUAAACAUUGGGAAGCCUUGAAAUGGCUGUUUAGGUAUUUGAAAAGAACAUGUAAUAUUGGCUUGAUAUAUAAGUUUAGUAACAAAGAAAUAAAAUUGAAAGGAUUUACUGAUUCUAAUUAUGCUGGUGAUAGAGAUAAUAGGAAAUCUACAUCUUUCUAUGUGUUUACUUUGUGUAAUUCUUGUGUUAGUUGGAAAUCUCAACUUCAACAUGUUGUUGCUUUAUCCACUACUAAAUCAGAAUAUAUUGCUGCUACUGAAACCUUUAAAGAAUCUUUGUGGUUUAAAGGUGUAUUAAAUGAACUUGGUGUUUUUGAUAACAAUGUGACAAUAUAUUCUGAUAGUCAAUCUGCUAUUCACCUAUGCAAAAAUCCUGUCUUUCAUGAACGUACUAAACAUAUAGAUGUUAGAUUGCAUUUCAUUAGAGAUAUGGUUUCUCAAGAACUGGUAAAACUUGAGAAAAUCCUUUCAGAAUAUAAUCCUGCAGACAUGGGAACUAAAGUGCUCCCAUUAGUAAAAUUUAGAAGCUGCCUUGAUCUUCUAAACAUUGGUACAAACUUGUAAGUUAUUUUUUCUAUAAGUUAUUUGUUAUCUUAUCUAACUUGCAGGAUGAUUUGGUAUCAAGGUGGAGAUUGUUAGGUAUUUUUUGGUAAGUGAUACCCAAAUCCCCUAGGCAAUGAUGAAAAUCGAGGCCCGUUUAACUUCAUAGGCUAUAAGCCUAAUAUUGAAGAACAUAUUGGACCCACACCACAAUUGAUGUAACCCAAUUGUGUUGGGUACUUUGGAGGAAAUCAGCCCAUUGGGCUAGAUGUUCAAUACCCGACUAUGGAGAUAAAUGAAAUCACAAAAGAUAGAAUUGGUUGCAAAUAAUUAUCUCGUGAUAAUUAUCAUAUCCCUACUGUUUCUGUUGGACUCAAAUUUAAACUUCCCUGCUAUCUUGGAGAUUUGAUUUCCCUCGUGAUAAUAUACAAGAGUUUUAAUAUAUCCAAAAACUCAACCAAUUUGAAAUAAAUAGAGAAGCCGGCUGCCUUCUUCUUCCAAGUGUGAGAACUUUUCUUCCUUCUCUGUGAAAACCGAAGUCGACCUUUGUGGUGUGCCUUUGUGUGCCUUUUCUUCUUCGUGAAUGAAAAAGUCUCCCAAUUGAAGUUACCUUUGUGGUGUUGGGUCGAAGAUUUCUGAGCCGGAUUUAAAAGGGGGAUUUCGUUUCAUUUUCUUCCAUUACAUUUCAGUUUCUGCAUUUCAUUUAAGUUUACUGCUUCAUUUUGGUUCCUUGAAUUCCAUUACAUUUAUUUGAUUUAAUCCUUGAUUAACCUUUGUUGUGUGGUUGCAGGUUGGAUUAAAAACAACACUCUGUGUAUUGAACUUUCUUUUUGAUAUAGAUUUUAUACAACUCAUAUUAAGGAAAAACCACCAAAUUAUUGCUAUAGUAUUUUUUGGUUUAAAUUUUGAGGGAUGUUCUUGAAAAAAGUAAACGUAUUUGGUUCCUGUGGAUUGUAACUUAAUUUCUCUGUGGGAUUUGAUUUCUUGAUUAAAGAUUAUAAAGUUUAGCAUGUAAAAAGUCACUGAUUUUUUUCCCCCUUGUAUAGUCCUUAGUGGCCACCAAUUGUGAACGUAUUAUGUAUAUCAUAUGAACAGAAAUUGAUGGUUUGUACAUUGGAUACAAAUCUGAUUUUGUCCUUCAGCGCUUGUGCUACUUUUUAUAAUAAGUUUUGUGAAUGAAACUUGUGUAGGUUGCUAUAUAUAGAUACAAAAAAAUGAUUUGUCUUUUAAUGGUGAUAUAUGCAACUAUGAACAAAGAUAAAAUUUUUGACAUGGAAUAUUUCAUAAUCAAUUGAUUUUAUGAUUUGAUUGAUAAAUAAUCUCAACUUGUAAUAUUUUGUAUCAAAUCCGUUAUACUUUUGGGACCAAAAUGAAAAUGUAUUUGCAGAAACCACAACCACCGUUGCUUAUAUGAUCGUAUCCCGAGUGCUACGACUCUAAUUUGGCUGGAACGCAUAAGUAACACAAGUUGACGUACAAUUAGGCAAAUUCAUAUACACUAUUCAAAAUCUUUAAAUGUUAUGGCUUAUAAAAUAUUAGAAUUCUUGAACUAUAUCCUUGGAUGAUAUGCAUUAAUUUACAAAAGAAAUGAAAAUAUGGUGUCUUUGUUGUAUUCGCAUUCGUCCUUAGUGUAGUGUGCAAAUUCGAACGUCAAUCAGUUGCUAUAGAUAUUAACAACAUCAUGUCACUUCACUCUUAUAGGUUAAAAAUGUGAUGCACGCUAUGUCGUGUGUCAAGAAAUAAUUACAAUGAUAAAAAUGAAACUUGUUCACGUGUUUAUGCAAUUGAUAUUUUACUCAACGUAAAUUUGUCUCUGAGAAAUCUAAUUCCACGAGUCAUGUGAUCAAGCAUUUAAACUUGCAAUUGUUUAUAUUAAAACAUAUUUUAAUUCACUGACUUGUCAUAAAACAUAAACAUAAUAAAAUCAAUUAUAAUGAUUUAUAUAAACUCGCAUAUUCAUGAAUAACCCUAAAAUAAGUAAGUUCACACUUGGUACGAAACUAAAAUUGUUGUUUUGCAAAAUAAUAGAACAAAUAUAUUCUAGAACAAAACUAUAAAAAGGGGAAAACAAUGUAAAACUUGGGGGUUUUGAUUAUGUAGAGUUGUCUUGGGUUGACAACAUAAUUUGACGCAGCAUCAAAAAUCUUAUCGUCUUUGGAUGAGGACCUCUAGGUUUAAGACUUUGUUGCUUGUCUAGCAUCAUCCUUAACCAUCUCUUUCUCCUUUUUUGUCUUGGAUGUUAAAUCAGCAGCUUCAAUUACUUCUCCUCCUUUCGAGAUGAAAUAUGUACCUGUAAUGAGUUUCAAUAGAUACUUCAACCACAAUAUUUUUCAUUGGAUAAUCAAGAUUUAUCACCAACCCGUUUUGAAGAAUUAUAAAGAAUAAUGCUAUUUGUAGUCAAUCACUACUACAGUCGUCUUACGUGACAUACAUGUAACGGUUAGUGAUUUAAUGCAAAGCAAUUAAAAAAACACAAUAUUAAUGUAUCAAAUCACUAACUGCCACAUGUAUGCCACGUAUGGUGAUUAUGAUAGUGAGCAAUUGCAAAUCGCAUUACUCAAUUAUAAAAUGAAGACGGCGGCUUUUCAGAUACUUGUUACACUAAAUAAGGAAUAUUUAUUUACAUAUGCUUUAAUCUCAUAAAUCGGGAUUUUUUGGGGUAUUUGAGUAAUUUAUGGGAAUAGCCGUUUUCUUGGAUAUUAAAAUGUGAGCAUUUUACUACAAGUGAUAGUCUUUUCAGAACAAAAUAUUGAGUGUAGUAAAAAUGGGAUUACAUUCUAAUUGGGAUUAGUGAGUGAAAUUUUCCGUUCUAGUUAAUGGAAAAUAAGAAAAUUGGUAAAACUUGUGCCGGGUCAUUGCUAAAACUGGUGCCCGGUCAACCGGUUUUACGGUUGGACCCUAUAAUUUUCCCCUUUUUGCGGUAUUUAAUUCUUGUGAUUUUUAGUCAUAACUGAACUAGUUUGGAGAUUGGUUCCCGGUUCCGGUUCGAUUUCGACAACAUUGGAUUUUGAGACUGAUUUAGACACUAGGAAACUGUAGCCAGAUCAAGGGAAAAGUAUGUUGGAAAAAAUGAGCAAUAGCUCAUUUUUGGCAAGAUUUUUGAUGGGAUCCGUUGGUUCAAUUUGGAAGAUCAAAAUUGAUCAGUGUUCUCCUCUGUGAGAGCAUCAAAAUCAUAUAUUUACUUGCCAAAAAUGAAGCUCAGGUGAAUGAGAAAUUGGAGUUCAAAGUUGACCAUUGGAAGAUGGUUUUAUGGGGGAAAUUAGCUUUUGUCCUACAUAGGAAAAGGAAUAAAGCAAUAACCACUUCAAAUAUGGUUGCACAUUGGAAAGGUAUAAUCAUGUGUAGUAUAGAGGUUCUCUCCACGUGAGCACGCAAGUGGGUGCAAAUCUCAGACCGAAAUAAUCUUCGGACCUUUAACUUGUGUGCGGGCACGACCUGCGUACACGAAUGUCGGACCGAACGAAGCAAAAAUUGGCCCCUUCGAAGAGCCCACGUUUUGCAUCAUUUUUUCUUGCUUUCUCAACCUGACUUUUGAGUUUUUGAUACUUCCAAAACUCCCAGAAAUUGAAGUGACUCAAAUCUUAAUUGUCAUAGAUUUAAUGGCAAAUUUAUGCUAUAUUAAAUCUCAAAUUUUCAGCAAUUUAUACAGAUGAAAAAGAAAAACUUUUUCUUCCUCACUGUUCAGAAAAAACGUCCCCUGCAAUUUCUGUCUGUGUCUUUGUCCAGUAAGAUUUUGAUUUGUUGCAUACGCAUAUCUGUCCAGUAAGGUCAUUGUGAUAUUGUUCAGACAUAUAUUUGUUUGUCGGAGUAGUUUCUGUGGUACUCAAAUUCUACAGGCUUUGCCAUUGUAUCCUGAAAAACAGACGUUCGGAUUAAAUCUCAAGUACUUACGGUGGGGGGCCGAAUCUGUUUUAAGGAAACUGUGUUCGCACAGGCCUCGGGUUGAAAAUUUAUCUGCUAUUUAUUUAGUUUGCAUUUUACUCUUGCAAAUUUAUUUAUUUAGCAAUUUACACGUUUGCAACAUACUUGACUCAUAUAUUGUUUGUUAAAUUUAUGUCAGAAAUAGAUAAAUAAAAUAAACUAUUUUUUUUUCAAUUCGUUAUGUGUGUGAAAAUAGAUUUCACAUAUACGGUAUUUCUAUUUGUAAAUGAAAAAAUUUGUGUUAUUUUAGUUAGUGUAUGAAUAAAAACACUUUAUACAAAUUCUGUGCAAAUACGGUGAGUUUCGCUGCCAAAUACGGUGAGCUUUCUGCAAAUACGGUAGAUAACAUAUACAGUAAGGUACAAACACGGUAGACUGCAAAUACAGUAAGUUAUCUGCAAAUACGGUAAGUGUCAUAUAUGGUAUAUGUAUAUACGGUAUGUUUAAAAUUAGUGUUUAAACUACACAUACGGCAUGUAAUAAUUCAGUUUCAUUAACACCACUAUAUUCCAACAAACUUAAAAUAGACUAGUAAAGGAAAAUAUUGGUUUCUUAUGGUGUUAAUUUUAGAAACUAUUUUUUUUUUGACUUUCAGAAAUGGCAACCGAAUCGACCAACAUGGAUGUGACGCAAACUGUGCGUACUGAAAAUUAGGCUAUAGGCUCAGCUGUGACUCAAGGGCCAAGCUUUGCUCUGGCUUAGACUGUGACUGAAUUGCCAAGUCAUGUUGUGAGUCAAACUGUGGCUCCAACAACUGGCCAUACCGUUAGUGCUCCGGUUAAUCAUGAAAAAAAAUCGGAGAAAUUCAAUGGCUUGAAUUUCAAAAGAUGCAAAAGAAAAUGUCAUUUUAUCUGACCACUUUGAAUCUUGAGAAAUUCUUGAUUGAGAUUGCUCCAAAACUCAAUGAGCGUGAGGGAGAUGUUCAAGCCAUCAGUGCACUUGAUGCUUGGAACUAUUCAGAUUUUUUGUGUCAAAAAUAUAUUUUGAACAGCUUAGCAGACACGCUAUAUAAUGUGUAUAGUACUAUAAAAACUGCUAAGGAAUUGUAGGAGUCUUUGGACCAAAAAUAUAAAAUUGAGGAUGCCGGGAUAAAAAGUUCAUUGUCGGCAGAUUCUUAGAUUACAAAAUGGUGGACUCCAAAAUAGUUAUCAAUCAAGUACAAGAACUCCAAGUGAUUCUUCAUGAAAUUCAUGCCGAAUGAAUGAUUUUGAGUGAAAUUUUUCAAGUGGCUGCAAUUAUUGAAAAUUUGCCCCCCGUAUGGAAAGAUUUCAAAAAUUAUUUGAAGCACAAGCGAAAGGAAAUGACGUCGAAGAACUAAUUGUUAGACUUCGAAUUGAAAAAGACAACAAGAGCUCUGAAAAGAAAUUGUUUAAUCUUGGUAUGGCUAAAGCCAAUGCCGUGGAGCUUGAUCAAAGUAGUAAGAACUACAAAAACAAGUUUAGAUCAUCCAGUGGCGAAAGGACCAAGCAAGGACUGAAAGGUGGAAUUUCUAAGAAGAAAUUUUAAGGAAAAUGUUUCAAUUGUGACAAAGUGGGCCACAAGUUUUCGGAGUGCAGAUUGCCAAAGAAAAAGAAAGAAGCAAAUGUGGUUGACUACAUGGCACAAAAUGUGUCGGAGCUGAAUCUCUUAGCUGUCAUUUCUGAAGUGAACAUGGUGGGUUCAAACCCUAAAGAAUGAUGGAUUGACACCGGUGCUACGAGGCAUGUGUGCUUUGAUAAAGAGCUGUUUACUACGUUCGAAGCAAUUGAGAAUGGGGAGAAGUUGUUUAUGGGAAAUUUAGCAAUUUCUAAAAUCAAAGUUCAAGGAAAGGUGGUUCUGAAAAUGACCUCGGGAAAGGACCUGAGUCUUAACAAUGUGCUAUACGUGCCAAAAAAUUGCAAGAACCUAGUAUUCGGGUCGCUUUUGAAUAAGCAUGACUUUCGCAUAGUAUUUGAGUCAGACAAAGUUAUUUUGUAAAAAAGUGAAAUGUUUGUCGAAAAAUGUUAUGUUUCCGAUGGUAUGUUUAAACUCAAUGUAAUGGUUGUUAAACAAAAAAUUAAUAAAGCAAACUCUUCUACUUAUUUGCUUGAGUCUUCCAAUUUGUGGCAUGGUAGACUAGGACAUGUUAACUAUGAUACUUUAUGAAGGAGGAAAUCCCCCCAAUGGUCACCGAACUUUGCCAAAAUCUCCUAAGAGGUCACUGAACUUAACUUCGUCCCUAAAUGGUCACCGAACUUUACAAAAGGCCCCUGGGAGGUCACUGAACUUGUUAUGCAUGGGGUCCCAUUUUGCAAAAGUUGAGUGACCUCUUGGGGAACUUCAGCAAAGUUCGGUGACUAUUUAGGGACGAAGUGAAGUUCAGUGACCUCCUAGGGGAUUUUGACAAAGUUCAGUAACCAUUUAGGGACAAAGUGAAGUUCGGUGACCUCCUAGGGAAAAUUGACAAAGUUCGGUGACCGUUGGGAGGAUUUCCUCCUUUACGAAGACUAGUUAACUUGAAUUGCAUACUCGAGUUUCACAUUGAUUCAAAAUAUAAGUGUGAAACUUGUGUUGAGAUAAAAUUGACAAGGUAAUCGUUUAAAUCAAUUGAACGGAACGCAGAACCAUUUGAUUUAAUUUACAGUAACGUAGAUGACUUAAAACUUGUACAGACAAGAGGUGGCAACAAGUAUUUCAUUACUUUUGUCGACGAUAGCACCAAAUACUGUUAUGUAUAUUUGCUAAAAAAUAAAGAUGAAGCUAUUUCUCUAUUAGAGUGAAGUUGAAACUCAACUUAAUAAGAAAAUUAAAGUGUUAAGAAGCGAUCGAGGUGGUGAGUAUGAAGCACCAUUUGCGAAAUUCUGUGCACAACACGGAAUCAUAAAUGAAAUCACCGCACCUUAUUCACUGAAACAAAAUGGUGUUGUUGAACAGAAAAAUCGUACUUUAAAGGAAAUAAUGAAUACAAUGUUAGUAAGUUCUGGGUUAUCUCAGAACAUGUGGGAGGAAGUUGUGUUAUCAACAAAUUACCUUUUAAAUAAGGUGCCCCAAAAGAAAAUGGAAAAGACCCCUUAUAAUUAUGGAAAGGAAGAAAGUCUCCUAUAAAUACUUACGAGUAUAGGGGUGUCUUGCUAAAGUGGUCGUUCCAACACCAAAGAAGGUAAGGACAGGGCCAAAAACUGUAGAUUGCAUCUUCAUUGGUUAUGCACACAACAGUAGUGUUUAUUGGUUUCUUGUGUAUGAUUCUAAAAUCCCUGACAUACACAAAAACACGAUAUUAGAAUCAAGAAAUGUUUCAUUCUUUGAACAUGUAUUUCCUUACAAGUCCAAAGAGGAAGUAAGAUCCUCCAAACGAACAUAUGAGACUAUGACUGAAAAUAGUCAUGCUGAAGAACUAGAAGAGGAGACUGAGGUUAGACGUAGCAAACAAGAAAGGACAGAAAAAUCAUAUGAUCCUGAUUUUUUGACCUAUAUGCUAGAAAGUGAACUUUAAAGUUAUCAAGAGGCUGUGAAUUACUCGGAAGGACCUCAAUGGAAAGAGGCCAUUAAAAGUAAGGUAGAAUUUAUACUGCAAAAUCAUACAUGGGAGUUAGUGGAUCUUCCUCCAAGAAGCAAAUCACUAGGCUAUAAAUGGAUUUUCAAAAGGAAAAUGAGAGCAGAUGGAACUAUCGAAAAUUAUAAAGCUAGAUUAGUAAUAAAAUGUUACAAACAAAGGGAAGGCCUUGAUUACUUUGAUACGUAUUCUCCAGUAACGAGAAUAACAUCUAUUAGGUUGAUACUUGCGAUUGUCGCUUUACGAAAUCUUGAAGUACAUCAAAUGGAUUUUAAAAUUGGCUUUCUAAAUGGAGAUUUAGAAUACGAAAUUUAUAUGAAACAACCCGAGGGGUUUUCGUCAUCAGAGAGCAGAAAAAGAAAGUUUGUAAAUUGGUGAAGUCACUAUAUGUCUUGAAACAAGCACCCAAACAAUGACAUGAAAAAUUUGAUAAUAUCAUGAUAGAGAGGAUUUAAAAUCAAUGAGUGUGACAAAUGUGUUUAUGUCAAAGACACUAAAGAUGGUUAUGUCAUUAUGUCUUUACGUUGACGACAUGCUUAUUGUCAGUAGUGACAAUAAGAUGAUUGAAUCCAUUAAAAAUAUGUUGAAUUCGAGAUUUGACAUGAAAUAUAUGGGUUUAGCUGAUAUUAUUCUUGGAGUCAAAAUCUCAAGAAUAUCAGAUGGGCUUGUUCUAAGUUAGUCACAUUAUGUAGACAAAAUUUUGGAAAAAUUUAAUAAGGAUGAUACUGGCUUAGCUAGAACACUGACAGAUAUGAGUCAACAUCUUUCUAAAAAUAAAGGUGAAAGUGUCUCUCAAACAGAAUACUCGAGAGUCAUUGGAAGUCUAAUGUACUUGAUGAGUUGUACAAGACAAGAUAUAGCCUACACAGUUAGUAAAAUGAGUAGAUACACGAGUAAUCCAAGAGUUGAUCACUGGAAAGGAAUAGUAAGAGUACUAAGGUACUUAAGAUAUACUCGUGAAUAUGGACUACAUUAUACCAAAUAUCCAGCGGCCAUUGAAGGAUACAGUGAUGCUAAUUAGAUAUCUGAUAUAAAAGACUCAAAGUCCACCAGUAGAUUUGUGUUCACAUUGGGAGGUGCUGCCAUAUCGUGAAAAUCCUCUAAACAAAUAGUUAUAGCCAAAUUUACGAUAGAAUCUGAGUUUAUAGCUCUAAAUAAAUGUGGUGAAGAGGUCGAAUGGUUGCGCAACUUCUUAGAGGAUAUUCUAAGAUGUUCAAAAUCUAUGCCAGCAAUUUGCAUAUAUUGUGACAGUCAAUCAGCAAUAGGAAAGGCACAGAGUAACAUGUGCAAUGGUAGGUCUAGACAUAUACGUCGUAGACAUAAUACCGUAACACAACUACUCUCAACUGGAGUUAUUACUAUUGACUACAUAAGGUCAAAAGAUAACAUUGCAGAUCCGCUAACCAAAGGAUUAAAUAGAGAAUUAGUUGGGGAGUCAUCGAAAGGAAUGUGACUUAAGCCCUUGAAUGAAUAACUUAUUACAAAGAAAAUCCAACCUAGUUGACUGGAGAUCCCAAGAUCUAGGUUCAAAGGGACAACCUAAUUGUAAAGGCUUAAUCAAAUAACUGUGGGGGUGUUUCCUCCUGUUCAUUCCUAUAAUGUAACAGUGAUGCCCGUAAGGAUAAAGGAUAAGCAAUAGGCUUUUAAUGAUUCUUAUAUGUUAAAGUUCGAGUCAAGUAAUGCAUAUUACUUGUAAUAAGAAAUCACCUAUGUGAGAGAGAAGUGGGUCGCUUCUAAGAGAAUUGUGUGGGGCUCAAUUCUUAAGAACUCUCAUAGAACCACGCAUAUGUUCAUGGCCAAAACGAACAUAAUAAUGAGAACUGAAUUGUGUUAGGAAGAAUCAUGUGUGGAGUAUAUCAUCGUUUACAUAAAUGGUAGAAGAGUUCAAGGACAACAUGUCUACUGGUUAGCUAGUAAAGUAAAUAUGUUUUUACAAGGGAAGGUUCAAAGGGUGAUACCUACCUAUCUUAUGCAAGCUUCAACCGUUGAACUUUAUGACCUAGUCUUGUAUCUCACGGUCACCAAGUCUCGUGUCUCACGGUCUCAUGUCUAUCCUAAUUUUCAUUCAUGUGGGGGAUUGUUGGAAAAAAUGAGCAAUAGCUCACUUUUGAAAAGAUUUUCGAUGGGGCCCAUUGGUCCAAUUUGGAAGAUUAAAGUUGAUUCAUGUUCUUCUCUGUGAAAACAUCAAAAUCAUAUAUUUACUUACGAAAAAAGAAGCUCAUGUGAAUGAGAAAUUGGAGCUCAAAUUUGGCCAUUGGAAGAUGGUUUUAUGUGGAAAAAUAUCUUUUGUCCGACAUAGGAAAAGGAAGAAAGCAAGAACCACUUUAAAUAUGGCUGCACAUUAGAAGGGCGUAAUCAUGUGUAGUAUAGAGGCUCUCUCCACGUGCGCGAGUAAGGGGGUGCAAAUCUCGGACCGAAAUAGCCUUCGGACCUUGAAUUUGUGUGCGGGCGUGACCUGCGUACACGAAUGUCGGAUCGAACGAAGUAAAAAUUGGCCUCUUUAGAGCCCCCGCGUUUUGCAUCUUUUUUUCUUGCUUUCUCAGCCUAACUUUUGAGUUUUUGAAACUUCCAAAACUCCCAGAAAUUGAAGUGACUCCAAUGUUAAUUGCCAAUGGCAGAUUUAUGCUAUAUUAAAUCUCAAGUUUUCAACAAUUUACACAGAUGAAAAAGAAAAACCUUUUCUUCCUCACUGUUCAGAAAAAACGUCCCCUGAAUUUCUAUCUGUGUCUUUGUCCAAUAAGUCUUGAUUUGUUGCAUACACAUAUCUGUCUAGUAAGGUCGUUGUGAUAUUAUUUAGACAUUGUAUUAGUUCGUCGGAGUAGUUUUUGUGGUGCUCAGAUUCUACGGGUUUUGCCGUUGUAUUUUGGGAAGCAGACGCUCAGAUUAAAUCUCAAGCACUUACGGUGAGGGGACGAAAUAAACUUUUUUUUUUCAAUUUAUGUUAGAAAUAGAUAAAUAAAAUAAACUGUUUUUUUUUUCAAUUCGUCAUAUGUUUGAAAAUAGAUUUCACUUAUAUGGUAUUUCUAUUUGUAAAUGAAAAAAUUUGUGUUAUUUUAGUUAGUGUAUGAAUAAAAGCACUUUUUGCAAAUUUUGUGCAAAUACGGUGAAUUUCGAUACCAAAUACAGUGAACUUCCAUAUACGGUGAGUUUUUUACAAAUACGGUAGGCAGCAUAUACGGUAAGGUGGAAAUGCGGUAAGUUGCCUGCAAAUACGGUAAUCUGCAUAUACGAUAAGCUACCUGCAGAUACGGUAAGUGUCAUAUACGAUAUGCUUAAAAUUGGUGUUUAAACUACACAUACGACAUGUGAUAAUUCGGUUUCAUUAACACCACUAUAUUCCAACAAACUAAAAGUUUAGUCGAAAGAGAUUUAUGAUUUGUUGUUAUUAAAUAAUUAAUUAUUUUAUUUAAGAAUUUAAUUGAAAAUGAAUUUACUUAUUUAUGCCUAAUUUAGCACUUGUUUUCACGUGUAGGUCGAAUUUAUUUGCUAACUAUAAACGUCUUAUAAUUGUGUUAAAAUAAAUGCAUAAUGAGAGUUUUCAACUAAAAAAAUUUGUCCUAAUUAAAAGUCAUUGUCUGAACAUAAGUUAUUGGAUAAUUGAUCCAUUUUUAUUGAUGAGAUAUUAGAAUAUUACUCUUUUUAUUACUAGGGUGAAUAAGUGUAUAGUUACAAGAAUUACGAAUUUUUUUAGAUUUUUUUAUGUUAUCACUGGAGGUAAAAAAAUAAUAAUAAUAAUAAAAUAAAAUAAAUCUAUUUCUUAAGUGUGUAUUUAUUUUCGUUUUUAAUAAAGUAUUUAUUUUUCCUGUAAAAAUACUACCAUUAAAUUUAUGGGAGGUAUGCCUUUUCAUUUGACGCACAACAAUAAGAAUAUAUAUCUACUUCCGAUCCCGGAUACAACUAAGAAUUUUGCAAGAAAUUAAGAAGACAAUUCUUAUUUCAAAAAUGAUAAAGUCCUUUUACACACACACACAUAUACAGAGAGAGAGAGAGAGAUGACCCUUAUAAGCAACAGUAACUCCAGUAGUAAUCACUAGUUAAAAUUUCUCACAUACUGAUACAUAAUAGUUUGCUUAAGGUUAUACGCAGAUAUAUCACCCAUUCUCCCAAAUCGAGGUACAAACUUGCUCGGCUGUGAGUUCUGCAGUGAAUAAACAACGGAUAAGUAACUAACAGGGUUUGAUGUCAUGUUAUGGGAAAUAGGGUUAUAGAUUUUACCACGUCAUUGCUGAAAAGCUAAGGAAAUGGAAGUGAAGGUGGAAGAUUCUGCAACAACCACCUGGAUUUUCU
rnacentral:lncRNA from 1 species